AUUUCACCACGGCAACUAUGAAAAUUGUUACUAGGGUAAAGGGAAGUUACAAUCCAAAGAAUUUAGAAUGUAAGUUUUAGUUGUAGAAGGAACAGUAGAGUCAGUAAUUAGAAAAAAAUCUUUUUAUUUCUAUUUUUUUGGGUCUGAGGACAUGCCUCAAGAUAGAAGAAAAUGAAGGAAAGUAAAAUAUCAAGGUCAGGGGUAGCAGAUGUACCCUCAUUGCUGUCGUAGAGAGAGAACGACAAGCGAGUAGCUGGCAGGGAGCCCAGAAACCCGAGGUUGACACUCCUAGCAUUAUUUCAUAGCAAGCCUAAAAUGCUGACAUGAGUGAGAAGCCUCCAGCAGUGAGCUGUCCUGGCAUGUUUAAAAAGAAAAUCGGCCAAUUGAAACUCAAGCUUCUCAUUUCUGGCAUGCUUAAAACCCAGCAUGUAAAUGUGGCCCCUGAGAGAGGCAAAGACAAGCUUACAAACAGAUGUUUUCACAGGUAUUCAGAAAAGACACCAUUACAUAAACAUCACUGCUGACUAUACCCCUAACAACCUACGUAAAGAAAGAAAGCCAACAAAAUAUGAUGUCACGGAGUGCCGAAAUAAACACAACUGUUUUUGUUUUGCUGCUUUGAUUUUUUUCCCCUUAUGACUAUGAUCUUUACUAUUUCUGAGUUCUUAUGCAUCAAAAUACUAAUUUCUUUUGAUAAUUUUAAUUCAGGCAACACUUUUAUGCUUUCAUUUUGAACUGUAGUAAAAUGAUAAAAUGUCUAAUUAUUUCUUUAACCUUGUUUCCUAAAGUUCAGACUGUCAUUCUUGAUGUAAGUAUCAUAUCAGAGCCGUG
rnacentral:lncRNA from 1 species